AACUAUUUAAAUUUUACUGAAAAGAUUUAAUAAUAUAUUGAAUUAUUUACCUUUUGCAUAAUGGUUAAAUAAUAUUCAUUAAAAUUAUAUUUCCCGAAAUUAGAAGAUCUAAUUUUAUUAUGUUUAUAGGUAUAAUAAUGUUUCAUAAUUAUAAAUAAAUAUAAUUAGUGGUGAAAGGCCUAUCAAUUCUAAUAAUAUCUGGAAUAAUUUGAAAUGUAUUUAGUACAGAAUAAAUUUGAAUAAGAAAAUGUUAAGGUUUUUUUAAGUAGAAUUUAUUACGUGUUUAUGAUUUAAUCUUCUUAUAAAGAUUUAAUACAUUAAUAUAUUUAUUUUUUAUCUAUAUUAAAAUUAUAUUUUAAUUUAAAUAAAAUUAAUUAUGUUUAAAUUAGUAUAA
rnacentral:rRNA from 1 species